rnacentral:rRNA from 1 species
GAUGAACGCUGGCGGCGUGCUUAACACAUGCAAGUCGAACGAUGAAGCCCAGCUUGCUGGGUGGAUUAGUGGCGAACGGGUGAGUAACACGUGAGUAACCUGCCCUUAACUCUGGGAUAAGCCUGGGAAACUGGGUCUAAUACCGGAUAGGAGCGUCCACCGCAUGGUGGGUGUUGGAAAGAUUUAUCGGUUUUGGAUGGACUCGCGGCCUAUCAGCUUGUAGGUGAGGUAAUGGCUCACCAAGGCGACGACGGGUAGCCGGCCUGAGAGGGUGACCGGCCACACUGGGACUGAGACACGGCCCAGACUCCUACGGGAGGCAGCAGUGGGGAAUAUUGCACAAUGGGCGCAAGCCUGAUGCAGCGACGCCGCGUGAGGGAUGACGGCCUUCGGGUUGUAAACCUCUUUCAGUAGGGAAGAAGCGAAAGCGACGGUACCUGCAGAAGAAGCACCGGCUAACUACGUG